rnacentral:rRNA from 1 species
UACGGAGGGUGCAAGCGUUAAUCGGAAUUACUGGGCGUAAAGGGCUCGUAGGUGGCCAACUAAGUCAGACGUGAAAUCCCUCGGCUUAACCGGGGAACUGCGUCUGAUACUGGACGGCUUGAGUUUGGGAGAGGGACGCGGAAUUCCCGGUGUAGAGGUGAAAUUCGUAGAUAUCGGGAGGAACACCAGUGGCGAAGGCGGCGACCUGGGCCAAUAUUGACGCUGAGGUGCGAAAGCGUGGGGAGCAAACAGG